AUCUGCUUUGAUCACACCAUUUUUGGCUCCAUAGUCUGGGAACAGAGAUGGUGUAUUUAAAUAUUUGGUCCUAAUGUCAUCCUAGCAGAGCAAGUACCUGGCAGGGCCCUGGCCAUGACAGCGGAAGUACAGAGAAUUGAGCCUGGGACUAUCCUUUUACCUGGGAAAGACAACAGGGUGCUAGUGACGCAAGGACACUGGAAGGAGACAAAGGUGGAAUUGGCAUUUCCAUCAUUUUUACACAGAAGAGAUCUGUGCCAAUGAGGCAACCUCUUGUAUUUGCCAAGCAUAUUGAAUUACUAAGUUCAGUGCAGAAUUUCAGCUUCCAACAGCAUGCUCAAAUGGAAAGUGAGUGUUUCAACAGUUCUUUGACUUGCAUUUUAUGUUGAUUUGCUCCUUGCUGUGCACCAUUUUCAAAUGGUGCAUCAAACCUUGUCCUUGUUACCUGUCACUGACCCAGAAGUCUGUUUCUGGAUGAUAGAGAAGAAUUCAGCAUUGUUUGGAGCCAGCCCAACCUUUCUUAUCUGAUUUCUCAGACUUUUAAGAGAAAAGGAGCUGUAAUAUUUACAUUUUCAAAAGUUCUCAGAAUAAAAUAUUUUGCAUAGGUCACAUGUGGCCAAGAUGGCUUGGAAAGGUCUCAUAGAAACUUUGAAAAUACUCUGCUUCCUCUGACCAGGAACGUGCAUAAUCAUAUGCUGAAUCAUAGAAUCAGAAAACUGCUCAGGUUGGAAAAGACCUUCAAGAUCAUCACAUCCAACCAGUAUAUAACCGUACUGCCCUAGGUCUAACAACUCUACACUAAAUCAUGUCCGUGAGCACCACAUCCAAAGGAUUUUUAAACACAUUCAGGGAUGGUGAUUCAACCACCUUUCCAGCAAGUUUCUGCAGGAUUUUUUUUUUUUUUUUUGUGGCUUAUGUUGCAUUAUGCAAGACUGUAUUUUUAUUAUCUUUUACUUCAUUAUGGAUAAUGUGUACUUUCACAUAAUCCCAAGCAAAUAUGGCACAAUGUAAUAGUCCAGCAAACAGUUAACUGGAGAGUUUGUGCUACUAACCUGCUACGUGGUUGGUUACUGAAUCUUUCAGAGCCUCAUCUUUGUGAAUGAUCUUACCAGGAGACUGCUAGAAACUUAGUUACCUGAUUUUGGAGGGUUUCCUCUGUGGAGGAUUUUGCAGUGCCUUUUGAAUACUUAGGACUGUGUGCAGUUCACAGCACAGUAUGCUUGCUCUGGCUUAGCAAUUAGGCUCUGCAAUGGGAAACAGAGUGGGAUGUGUGUCACUGUCUGCUAUUCCCAGAGUCCUUGGCUUCUGAGCACCAAUUUUUGGGGAAAAGAAACAUUAAACGGUAUUUGGGAUCAGUCCCCAACAAACAGAAGGGGAUUGGAAAGCUUCUCCUCUCUGUAUGUUCCCUUAACUAAAGUUAAUGUGAAGAGAACGAAUCAAGAGAAACACAAACUGUCCUAGAGCAGCUGUGUAGGAUAAAAGCAUACUGUUAAUUUGUAACUAGGAAAUGCAAUGUUCUCUGGAAAAACUGAAUUAAAAAUAAUAAACUGGAAUAUUUUCUUGCUUGUGCUCAGAAGCUCACAAUUUCUGUCCUGUCCAGUCUUUGUGCUGUAAGGGUCUAUCACAACCUUGUUGCUGCUUGAAAAUUUAGACAUUUUAACAGGACUAUGGACUGUGGAAGUGUUCAAUAGGCAACCUCAACCUUUUGUAAAUAAUGGAAAAACUUGCAUUAUCUCAUUCCAAAUUCUUUUAUUAUAGUUAUAACUCAACCCAUGCAACUUCAAAGUCAUAAAAUUACAUGACGAGAGUCUCAAAGUGUAAUAUGGAAAAAACAAUAAGUAAAGCAAACAAUAUUAUAAGGUGAACAAGUUCAUCUUUCAGGUCUAGUGAACUCAAAACUAGCUCAGCAAAAAUGUCAUAAGUGCCACUGUAAUAAAGAUCUCAGUAACUGCAUGCUGAUACACAGCAGUGUGAGUUCUUGGUAUUGGCAGAAAUCGAUUCAGCCUCUGGCUGUAAGGCUGCAGAAAUAGGCACGUAACUAUUUAUUUAUUUUCUGUGCAAACUGCCAACUGUAGUUCUGCUGCAUGGUCCAUUCUUACAGUUCUCACUGAAGAUCAAUGGCUGCUAAACUUGCAUAUCAAAGGGAAAACAACUCUUCCACAUGCUACUAUUUAUCUCCCAAAUGAUGUGAACUCUUUUUACAAAGAUUGAUGAAUUCUUUUUUUUUUUUUCUUUCAUGUUUUUACCAGCUUCUCUCCCUUCUUUCUCCCAGACUGGGAAAAAAAAAUGUGGUUUUAUCAACAUUACAUUGGGAACUCAGACUUGCUGAGUAUUUUCCAUCUCUCUGAUGUACAAAAAUGUUUAGUGUUCUUUAAAAAUGUAAAUAAUUUUCUUUGUAGAUGAGUUCAAUAUCAGAAAAGAGAAGUUUAGUAAGUAAUCUCUGUAUUAAAUCUCCAAGGCGUUUUGAUGAGAAUUGACAGCUAUUUCUUAGUAACUCAUGGAUAUUAUAUCAGUGUCUGGUAAGUAUAGCUGCUUCUUGGAAGCUUGUAAAAGAUACUUUAAAAAGCAUUUAUUUUACUUUAUUUUGUCUACCUGCUUUCUCUAGGGUUCAAGAUUAGAAGCUUUCCUUCCAACACUUCAAAAUAUAAACACUUAAAAAAACCGUCCAAGGUUUGCAGCAAUUAUUUGUUUUGAUGGAGGAGCUAGAGUCAUUUCUGAGCAAAGAUCAGGGCCUCUCCUCAUGAUCAUGGAAAGAAAUGCCAUUUACAACAGCCAGAGAAUGGAAAAUGUUAGCAAGUCAGAGCAAACAGAAGAUAAACACUAGGCUUUCACAACACAACAGUGCAGUGUGUCCAACUUGUUAUCAGUUUACAACUUCAGACUCAAAACCCUCUUUCCGAACUGACGAAGUUCUUUGUUCCUCCUUUAUUGAGCUGUGCCUGUGCUGCUGUACUGUUCCCACAGUGCCUCCUGCAACACUGGUGCUGUGCAGCUAGCAGCUAGCAGAAGUUUAAAAGCUGUACAGUCCAACUUAUGCUGAGUGAGGGGUUUUAGUACCUACCAACAUUACAUUAAUGACAAAGUUCUUUCUGUCUUUUCAGGCAUGGAAGUAGCUACAGGUGAGGCUGCUGGUUAGACUGGAUGGAAGCAAUGAUUCCAAGUGAAAGCAAUGUAAAUUGGGAAGAGUUCAUCCUAUAUUUAAAUAGCUAUAAACUAACCAGAUCAAUGAAAUGUGAUGGUUCACAUUGCAAACAUACCAAUUCACCAGGUUUAGCAUUCAGACAUGAGAACAUGUGUCACGAAAACAACCACUCUCCUGCCACAACACAAACUUACUUGUCUGUGCUUU